rnacentral:rRNA from 1 species
AUUGAACGCUGGCGGCAUGCCUUACACAUGCAUGUCGAACGGCAGCACGGAGCUUGCUCUGGUGGCGAGUGGCGAACGGGUGAGUAAUAUAUCGGAACGUACCCUAGAGUGGGGGAUAACGCAGCGAAAGUUACGCUAAUACCGCAUACGAUCUAAGGAUGAAAGUGGGGGAUCGCAAGACCUCAUGCUCGUGGAGCGGCCGAUAUCUGAUUAGCUAGUUGGUAGGGUAAAAGCCUACCAAGGCAUCGAUCAGUAGCUGGUCUGAGAGGACGACCAGCCACACUGGAACUGAGACACGGUCCAGACUCCUACGGGAGGCAGCAGUGGGGAAUUUUGGACAAUGGGCGAAAGCCUGAUCCAGCAAUGCCGCGUGAGUGAAGAAGGCCUUCGGGUUGUAAAGCUCUUUUGUCAGGGAAGAAACGGUGAGAGCUAAUAUCUCCUGCUAAUGACGGUACCUGAAGAAUAAGCACCGGCUAACUACGUGCCAGCAGCCGCGGUAAUACGUAGGGUGCAAGCGUUAAUCGGAAUUACUGGGCGUAAAGCGUGCGCAGGCGGUUUUGUAAGUCUGAUGUGAAAUCCCCGGGCUCAACCUGGGAAUUGCAUUGGAGACUGCAAGGCUAGAAUCUGGCAGAGGGGGGUAGAAUUCCACGUGUAGCAGUGAAAUGCGUAGAUAUGUGGAGGAACACCGAUGGCGAAGGCAGCCCCCUGGGUCAAGAUUGACGCUCAUGCACGAAAGCGUGGGGAGCAAACAGGAUUAGAUACCCUGGUAGUCCACGCCCUAAACGAUGUCUACUAGUUGUCGGGUCUUAAUUGACUUGGUAACGCAGCUAACGCGUGAAGUAGACCGCCUGGGGAGUACGGUCGCAAGAUUAAAACUCAAAGGAAUUGACGGGGACCCGCACAAGCGGUGGAUGAUGUGGAUUAAUUCGAUGCAACGCGAAAAACCUUACCUACCCUUGACAUGGCUGGAAUCCCGGAGAGAUUUGGGAGUGCUCGAAAGAGAACCAGUACACAGGUGCUGCAUGGCUGUCGUCAGCUCGUGUCGUGAGAUGUUGGGUUAAGUCCCGCAACGAGCGCAACCCUUGUCAUUAGUUGCUACGAAAGGGCACUCUAAUGAGACUGCCGGUGACAAACCGGAGGAAGGUGGGGAUGACGUCAAGUCCUCAUGGCCCUUAUGGGUAGGGCUUCACACGUCAUACAAUGGUACAUACAGAGCGCCGCCAACCCGCGAGGGGGAGCUAAUCGCAGAAAGUGUAUCGUGGUCCAGAUUGUAGUCUGCAACUCGACUGCAUGAAGUUGGAAUCGCUAGUAAUCGCGGAUCAGCAUGUCGCGGUGAAUACGUUCCCGGGUCU